CCCAAGCCCAAGUAUUCGUCUCAGCGUACCCAAGUUCUCGUCGAGGGUCAUCGAACCAAAAUCCCUCUUCUUCCUCAAUCCUCUUCUCUCAGUCUCAGCAACCUCAACUCGCUUUCUCUCUCCUCAAUCAAGGCCAUCGCCGGAAGGCAGAAACUCACCUUUCUUCUUGUCGGAGGCCGUCGACGAUCUACGCGUUACGGCGUCUAUUUCCUAGUUGUAGAAACGAAGUCGGUUUCCUCUUCUGUCGUUGUAGUUUAGAGGUGCCACGUGGUCAUUUUAAACUGGAUGGGGUCAGGUCCCAUUAAAUCCCAACUACAUUUGCUUUGAUUAUGGUUUAUUAUUCAGGCCCCUCUUCGUGAUUUCAAUUGCAGUUCGCAGGUAGCUGGUUUUUUAUUUUCCAUCUCAAUCUUCUGGUUUUUUUUUUUUUUUUUUUUUUUUUAAAUUUUCUAUCUCAAUCUUCUAGGUUUUUUUUUCCAUCUCAAUCUUCUACAUCCGUUUGGGACCCUUUUCACAACGCUUUAGACUUCUCAUUCAAAAUCAAUCUAGGGGUCCCUAUUAGGCAGCCAAAAAUUAUGGCAACUCUGAAAGACCUUCUUCCUGCUGCAAAAUCAACAACUGUGACACACUAUGAUCACUCAAAUGAUCCAUGGUUCAAGCAGCGGUUUAGUUCAUCAGAAGCAGAGCAAACUUCUGUUGCUAAGGCCAAUCCUGUGCCGCCUUACUUGAAGCGUAGUGGCUUUGUUCCACGGAGAGCAGAGGAUUUUGGAGAUGGUGGUGCUUUCCCAGAGAUUCACAUUGCUCAAUACCCGCAUGACAUGGGUAGAGACAAAUCAUCAAAGCCUGGAUCAAAGAUUCUUCCUGUUACCGUAGAUGCUCAUGGAAAUGUUGCAUAUGAUGCUAUUGUCAAACAGAAUGAAAAUUCUAGAAAGAUUGUUUAUUCACAACACAAAGACCUCAUUCCAAAGAUCUUGAAAAAUGACGAAGAGAGUGAUGAAGAUGAAGAGUUGCAGAAAGAGAUUGAAGAAACAACCGAGGAAACAAAGUCUGCACUUGAAAAAAUAGUGAAUGUAAGAUUGAGUGCAGCUCAGCCUAAAAAUGUAGCCAAGCAAUCAUCAGAUUCAAAAUUUAUCAAGUAUAAGCCAUCUCAGCAGUCGGCAGCUUUUAAUUCAGGUGCCAAGGAGAGAAUCAUUAGAAUGGUGGAAAUGUCGGUAGAUCCGCUCGAGCCUCCGAAGUUCAAGCAUAAGCGUGUUCCUAGAGCUUCUGGGUCUCCCCCUGUGCCUGUCAUGCAUUCCCCUCCUCGUCCUGUCACCGUGAAGGAUCAGCAGGACUGGAAGAUACCACCUUGUAUUUCAAAUUGGAAGAAUCCAAAAGGUUAUACAAUUCCACUUGACAAGCGCCUUGCAGCUGAUGGGAGAGGCCUUCAAGAAGUUCAAAUCAACGAUAAUUUUGCAAAGCUAUCUGAAGCACUAUAUGUUGCAGAACAGAAAGCAAGAGAAGCAGUUGCAAUGAGAUCUAAGGUUCAGAAAGAAAUGCUCAUGAAGCAGAAGGAGAAGAAGGAGUUGGAGCUUCGAGCCUUAGCUCAAAAGGCUCGAUCUGAGAGGACUGGUGCUGCACCUCCUUCUGCAGUUCAUUAUUCAUCUGAGAGGAGCACUGUUGAUAGAGAUACUUCUGAGAUAAAUGGGGAGUUUGAGCGUGUUAGAGAAAAGGAGAGAGAUUUACCAAAGGAGUCGAGGGAAGAAAGGGAAGAGCGGUUGCAGCGUGAGAAGAUUCGUGAGGAACGACGUCGAGAGAGGGAAAGGGAAAGAAGGUUGGAGGCCAAAGAUGCAGCAAUGGGGAAGAAGAGCAAGAUUACAAGAGAUCGAGAUCGUGAUAUUAGUGAGAAGGUUGCACUUGGUAUGGCUUCUACUGGAGCAGGUAGAGAAGGAGAAGUUAUGUAUGAUCAGAGGCUAUUUAACCAAGAUAAAGGAAUGGACUCAGGAUUUGCCACCGACGACCAGUACAAUAUAUACGACAAGGGUUUGUUUACCGCUCAACCCACUCUCUCAACCCUUUACAGACCUAAGAAAGAUGCUGACUCUGACAUGUAUGGAGGUGCUGAUGAACAGUUAGACAAGAUUAUGAAAACCGAUCGCUUCAAACCAGACAAGUCAUUUUCAGGCACUGCAGAAAGGUCUGGACCUAGAGACAGACCGGUUGAGUUUGAAAGAGAAGUCGAAGAAGCUGAUCCAUUUGGACUCGAUCAGUUCUUGACUGAAGUGAAGAAAGGUAAGAAAGCUAUGGAUAAAGUUGGCAGUGGUGGGACAAUGAGAGCCAGUGGUGGUUCAUCAAUGCGUGACGGCUACGAUGGCGGUUCGGGUAGAACUCGCAUUGGAUUUGAAAGAGGGCAUUAGGAGCCCAACAGGUGGAAAAGUUGGCAUCCCGAUCAGAAGGAGACUUUUCGUAGAAAAUGGUGCCAAAAUUUCCACGUUUAACUUGGAGGCCUUGAGGAUGGCUCGUUAUCUUCCAUGUCGAUCAGGUUUCUUUUCUUCAAUGACGAAUUGGAUCAACAGGGAAAUCACUUCAAACACUAUAAAGUCCACGAAGGAAAUAGAAAGAAAACAGAGAAGAGACCGACUUUGUAUCAUUUUUCUCUACUGUUCUUUAUUAACCCUUCUUUAGGAAAAUAACAAAGCAAAGAAAUCGUUGACGAUUGUCACAACCGAUGUAUCGGAAAGUUCCAGCAAGAAAGUUAUAAAAUUAUUAAGAAACGUAGGAGGAUAUGAAAGCCAGGGGUUCGUUGAUUUUGGAGGGCGAUAUAUCAAAUAAUGAUUGUGUUUAAAAG